rnacentral:rRNA from 1 species
CAGCCGUAAACGAUGCGCGUUAGGUGUAUCGACGACCACGGGUCGUCGAGGUGCCGAAGGGAAACCGUGAAACGUGCCGCCUGGGAAGUACGGUCGCAAGGCUGAAACUUAAAGGAAUUGGCGGGGGAGCACCACAACAGGUGGAGCCUGCGGUUUAAUUGGACUCAACGCCGGAAAUCUCACCGGAUAAGACAGCAGAAUGAUUGCCGGGCUGAAGACUCUGCAUGACUAGCUGAGAGGUGGUGCAUGGCGUCAGUGACU